rnacentral:sRNA from 1 species
GCGACUUGGCGGCGGGUGCCAUGCGUCUGGAGCUUCACAUUCUCUGCCCCCAACCCACCGCGCCGGCGCUCCCUUGUCACGCCUCGGGAAGCGCGCACCUGCCAAGCAGGAUGAAUAAUCUGAUAUCAUGUGAAAUGAGGAAGUAAGAAGCUUUCUGCUGACUUCAUUUUGACCCAGGGUCCAAAAGGUGAUGUAAUCCUGUGGCAAGAAGAUUCAAAACUGUGGACUAUCUUGCAAAAAAUACAAGAAGAUAUUGAAAGUUUUCAUGAGUGCCUACCACCUAAUCUCAAACACUAUCAUUCAUAUGUGCCUCAUUGAGCAAAUCUUUAAUGAGGAUCUAUAUGCCAGAUAAUGUAGGCAUUGUUCCUAAGUCAUGCAGAGGGGUUGUGUAAGCAUGGUCAUUUGCAUCAUUAUCCUGCACAUCUGAUACAGCCAAACUCCACGCCACCUGGUUUGCUCAAUAUCUUUUGCUUGGGAGCAGAAACAGAAAGUACAUGGUGGACUUCAUUGAGGGAUGGAGAUUUGGAAGACAUGAAUGGAUGAAGAACCAAACGGAGUCUCGCUCUGUUGCCCAGGCUGUAGUUCAGUGGCGCAAUCUCGGCUCACUGCAAGCUCCGCCUCCCGGGUUCAUGCCAUUCUUCUGCCUCAGCCUCCCGAGUAGCUGGGACUACAGGCGCCUGCUACCAUGCCUGGCUAAUUUUUCGUAUUUUUUAGUAGAGACGGGGUUUCACCAUGUUAGCCAGGAUGGUCUCGAUCUCCUGACCUCGUGAUCCACCCAUCUCGGCCUCCCAAAGUGCUAGGAUUACAGGCAUGAGCCACCACGCCCAGCCAACUUAUAACUUUUAUAUCAUUAGACACAUGGAAUAUGGGCCUCCGUUUGUACUUAUGCCCUUGGCCCCACAAAUGUUAGGGAGAGGCCUGGCUCCUGCAAUGUACUAUUUACCUGUUGUAAAUAAUAGCCCUUCAAAAGUAUUAUUCUAAGUCUGUUUGACAUAAUAGGUCCAAAUUGUAUUACAACAUGGUAAAAAAACAACAAUCCGUUAACAAUCCUCUUUGGAUUUCUAAAAAAGUUUUGGUAGCCUAAACCCUUUCCCCAAUUUUUGAUAUCACUUCAUGUCAUUUUAGAGAGUAAGUUUUCCUGUUUUAUUAAUGUUUAUAUUUAAGCUGAAUUUUCUAAAAGAA